GCUAGUAAAUGAGCAUUCUGACCAGCCAUGCCGCGUGAAGGAAUACGGCCCUAUGGGUCUUAAACUUCUUUUAUCAUAGAGUAAUCGUGGGGACGUGUCCCUGCCUGCAAGUAUAUGAUGAAUAAAUAUCGGCUAACUCCGUG
rnacentral:rRNA from 1 species